GAUGAACGCUGGCGGCGUGCCUAAUACAUGCAAGUCGAGCGAACAGACGAGGAGUUUGCCUCUCUGACGUUAGCGGCGGACGUGAGAGUCACGUGUGUAUAAUCUACCUAUGAGACUGGGAACACUUCGGAAAGAUGGAUCUAACACCGGAAAAGAAAUUGAACCGUAUGGUUUACUAAUAAAAUACAAUUUUACUGCUACCUAUUGGACCUUCCGUGCCUCAUUAACUAGUUGGUAAGGUAACGGCUUACAAAGGCAACGAUUCGUAGCCGACCUGAGAGGGUGAUGGGCCACACGGGAACUGAGACACGGUCCAGACUCCUACGGGAGGCAGCAGUAGGAAAUCUUCCGCAUUGGGGGAAAGCCUAACGGAGCAACGCGGCUUGGGUGAUGAAGGUCUUGGGAUCGAAAGACUCUGUUAUUGGGGAAGAACAAAUGUGUAAGUAACUAUGCACGUCUUGACGGUACCUAAUCAGAAAGCCACGGCUAACUACGUG
rnacentral:rRNA from 1 species